UAAUGGAAAUGAUUCUCUUGUCACCAUUUCGGUAUUUGGGGUGUUGCUGAUAAGCAACAGGAAGGACUUUGAGGAAGAAGUGACCAAAAGAACUGGACAUUUAAGGGAAUUUCAGGUAAAAAAAGGUGAGAUUUUGCCUUCCUCGAAAGUUGUAUUUCCUGAAAUUGUCACAGCCACCCCAGCCUUCAGCAAUCC